rnacentral:rRNA from 1 species
UACGGGGGGUGCAAGCGUUGUCCGGAUUUACUGGGCGUAAAGAGCGCGCAGGCGGUCGUUCAAGUCGAGUGUGAAAGCCCCCGGCUCAACUGGGGAGGGUCACUCGAUACUGAUCGACUCGAAGGCAGAAGAGGGAAGCGGAAUUCCCGGUGUAGUGGUGAAAUGCGUAGAUAUCGGGAGGAACACCAGUGGCGAAGGCGGCUUUCUGGUCUGCUCUUGACGCUGAGGCGCGAAAGCUAGGGUAGCAAACGGG